UAGGGAAUUUUCGUCAAUGGGGGAACCCUGAACGAGCAAUGCCGCGUGUGUGAAGAAGGUCUUCGGAUCGUAAAGCACUGUUGUAAGUGAAGAAUGCCACAUAGAGGAAAUGCUAUGUGGGUGACGGUAGCUUACCAGAAAGCCACGGCUAACUACGUGCCAGCAGCCGCGGUAAUACGUAGGUGGCAAGCGUUAUCCGGAAUCAUUGGGCGUAAAGGGUGCGUAGGUGGCACGAUAAGUCUGAAGUAAAAGGCAACAGCUCAACUGUUGUAUGCUUUGGAAACUGUCGAGCUAGAGUGCAGAAGAGGGCGAUGGAAUUCCAUGUGUAGCGGUAAAAUGCGUAGAUAUAUGGAGGAACACCAGUGGCGAAGGCGGUCGCCUGGUCUGUAACUGACACUGAUGCACGAAAGCGUGGGGAGCAAAUAGGAUUAGAUACC
rnacentral:rRNA from 1 species